rnacentral:lncRNA from 1 species
GAGAUUCGAGUCGACUCCCAGGACAGUCGAGUCGACUCGAGAGGACAAAAUUCAAAAUUGGAUCCACGGACUUCAGUGGAUGAGCCGACUCCGAAAUUGCCAAGUCAGCUCCAGAAGUUGGCGAGUCGACUCCGGGUUAAGACGAGUCGACUCCCAGUCGAGGAUGCACCAUAAUUCAAAUUUGGAACAGUGACUGAGUCGUCUCUAGUAAAGCACGAGUCGACUCCUGCAACAGGCGAGUCGACUCCUGAUCGCGCGAGUCGACUCCGAUCCCAACGGUAACAUUGUCAGGAGGUGCAGACUGUGUCCAACGGCUCUAUUUUUGUCUCUAACGGCUAUAUUCUUGUUUCCACGCCAUCAAAAGCUAUAAAAACAAGAAGAGAGCUAGGGGAGAAUGUAUGAAAGUGGGAGAAAACAUUUAGGGAAGAGAUUCCAAGGGAAAUCUCCCAUAAGCACAAUAAGGGCCAUUCAAAGUGAAAUAGAGAGAAGAAGAGCUUCCAAGUGUAUCCCAAAGCUUCCUCUCCAUCCGUG